rnacentral:lncRNA from 1 species
AUUUUUAUUAGAACUCUACAUAAAGCACCUUUGCCUGCCUUAAACUUUACAAUACUUCUCUGAACACUGUUGUUGUUUUUUUUUUUCCUGCAAUACAACAUAAGAUGCUUCAAACUACUCUGCAUUUCUUGAUUUGGACACUGCCACCUUAACAGCUUGCACAAUGGCAUCUUUGUCAAUACCAAACAUCUUCAGCAGCUCAGCUGACUUCCCGCUUCGUGGUACAUGAGAUACAGCCAAGCGACUGACUGUGACACCAGGCUCACCCACUACUGCAGCACACACUGCUUCUCCAAUGCCACCUUCAUGGUAAUGGUCCUCAACAGUGAUGAUUCUGCCUUUGGUUGCUCUUGCAUUUUCAAGUAUUGUCUUCUUAUCCAGGGGCUUUAUAGUGAAAGGAUCAAUCACGCGGAUGAAGAUCUUCUCUGCAGAAAUAGAAUGACGUUAUUUGCAACUUGGUCUUGGAGAACGUAACACAACAAAAGCAGUACAGGCAGUCCCUGUGAUUAUCUAGAGGUAUUAUGGUAAACUGUCAGGGUAUCUGCACUAACGGCAUGCCUGACGCAGAAUCUAAUCAACUCUAAAUCUGUUCAUGUAACCGUAUGUGCAUUCUCUCUUGGUGUUCCUUGUGAGACAGUAACAUCCAACCACUUCACAGAAUAAACUGAGACAGAAAAGCCUUGGAUAAGCAACUCGAGGUCAUCACGAGUGGCUGUUAGCAAAGAAGUAACUCAAGUGGCCUUCCCAUGGGCAAGAACAGAAUUCAGCCACCAUGAAAUCCUCCUUCUUCAGACUGUCAGUCACUUUUAUCUUUUUCCUCC